rnacentral:rRNA from 1 species
UACGGAAGGCAGCAGUAGGGAAUCUUCCGCAAUGGGCGAAAGCCUGACGGAGCAACGCCGCGUGAGUGAUGAAGGUCUUCGGAUCGUAAAAACUCUGUUAUCAGGGAAGAACAAACGUGUAAGUAACUGUGCACGUCUUGACGGUACCUGAUCAGAAAGCCACGGCUAACUACGUGCCAGCAGCCGCGGUAAUACGUAGGUGGCAAGCGUUAUCCGGAAUUAUUGGGCGUAAAGCGCGCGUAGGCGGUUUUUUUAAGUCUGAUGUGAAAGCCCACGGCUCAACCGUGGAGGGUCAUUGGAAACUGGAAAACUUGAGUGCAGAAGAGGAAAGUGGAAUUCCAUGUGUAGCGGUGAAAUGCGCAGAGAUAUGGAGGAACACCAGUGGCGAAGGCGACUUUUCUGGGUCUGUAACUGACGCUGAUGUGCGAAAGCGUGGGGAUCAAACAGGAUUAGAUAACC